CAGUAGCCACGGUAAUACGAAGGGUGCAAGCGUUAAUCGGAAUUACUGGGCGUAAAGCGUGCGUAGGCGGUUUGUUAAGUCUGCUGUGAAAUCCCCGGGCUCAACCUGGGAAUGGCAGUGGAUACUGGCAAGCUAGAGUGUGUCAGAGGAUGGUGGAAUUCCCGGUGUAGCGGCGAAAUGCGUAGAGAUCGGGAGGAACAUCAGUGGCGAAGGCGGCCAUCUGGGACAACACUGACGCUGAGGCACGAAAGCGUGGGGAGCGAACAGGAUUAGAUACCCCAGUAGUCCCUGUCUCUUAUAA
rnacentral:rRNA from 1 species